rnacentral:rRNA from 1 species
GAUGAACGCUGGCGGCGUGCCUAAUACAUGCAAGUCGAGCGGAUGGAUUAAGAGCUUGCUCUUAUGAAGUUAGCGGCGGACGGGUGAGUAACACGUGGGUAACCUGCCCAUAAGACUGGGAUAACUCCGGGAAACCGGGGCUAAUACCGGAUAACAUUUUGAACCGCAUGGUUCGAAAUUGAAAGGCGGCUUCGGCUGUCACUUAUGGAUGGCCCCGCGUCGCAUUAGCUAGUUGGUGAGGUAACGGCUCACCAAGGCAACGAGGGGUAGCCGACCUGAGAGGGUGAUCGGCCACACUGGGACUGAGACACGGCCCAGACUCCUACGGGAGGCAGCAGUAGGGAAUCUUCCGCAAUGGACGAAAGUCUGACGGAGCAACGCCGCGUGAGUGAUGAAGGCUUUCGGGUCGUAAAACUCUGUUGUUAGGGUAGAACAAGUGCUAGUUGAAUAAGCUGGCACCUUGACGGUACCUAACCAGAAAGCCACGGCUAACUACGUGCCAGCAGCCGCCGCCG